ensembl:lncRNA
UUACUAAUGAGAGUAAUGUAGCCUAUGUAUAAGGGUGUGCAAACUUUAGCACUUACCAUUAUAUGUACUUCUUUCUGGCUGUGUAUAUACAGUAAUUCGAAAUUGGUGCAUUAAUUAGUGAAUUGAUAUGCCGAUGGUGAUUUUGAACUGAAUUGUUCCUACAAUUCUAGAAAGGGUUCACUGGAUAAUUAAGGACUCUUCUCUUCUAAAUAUAUAUAUAUAUAUAUAUAUAUAAUAGGGAAGCACUUUGUUGUAGGGUUCUACACAGAACCUUUAAUGGAUCCUGCAGAGGGACAACCGAAGAAUUCGUACAGGUAUUAAAUGUUCUGUAUAUAGUAUGAGUUUAUGCAUAUAUUCGUAAUGAGAGUAUGCGCUUAGCGUAUAACAUUAACGUUAUUUGGGGGGUUUUUCUCACAUGGCUUUUGUGAUUUGUUCCCUCACUGAGAAUUUGGCCUUUUCAACAAACAGCCACAUUUUUUUUUCCUUCUCCAUGAGAACAUGGCCUUUGCAGUCUCACACUCGUGAGCUACAGCUGAGAACUCAUAACCUUUUGGUCGCUGCCCUCACUAUUGUAUUUACGGUAUUUACAGUUAAGUGAAGUACAGUGAAAUAGGAGAGCACAUUUCCUUUAUUGAGGACUCGGGAAAGUGUUGAGCAAAAGGGAAAAGUCCACUUGAAAGAGAAAAAAAAGGAAGAAGGACAAAAGAGAGUUAAAUAAUCUACUGUUCUUCAUCUGCUGGAAAUCUUCUUCUUCUUAUUAUUAUUAUUAGUAGUAUUCUAUUAAAUAACAUUAUUAUUAUUAUUAAAGGAAGCACUACAAAUGUUUAGAGAUGUGAAUGAAUGAAUAGUGUAAGAUGUGACUUAAUUAUUUAUUAAACUUUAUGGGCAUGCUGUAGUGUAAAAUAAAGUGUAUUGACUCAGUGAGUCAAGAUAGUGUGUGUGUGUGUGUGUGUGUGUGUGUGUGUGUGUGUGUGUGUGUGUGUGUGUGUGUGUGUGUGUGUGUGUGUGUACACUGCCAGUCAAAAGUUUUCCCUGCAUUUACAGUUUUGGUUAAACUUUAAGAAAUUAGAUUGAUAUUUUCCACCUUAUUUAAUUACCUAUAGUGAGUAAACAACAACAACAACAACAACAACAACAACAGCAAUAAUAAUAACUACUACUACUACUCAUCACUACUAUAUCACUAAAACAAUCCUGAUUAUUCUCAUCAUUUGAUAAAUGUAAUAGAUUUACUAUUAAAUGAACAGAUAAUCAGUUAUUCAGAGAUCACUCAAAGAGUAUUUAAAAUUUUUUUUUUUUUUACAAAAGAUCAAAAGGUUAAACAAUAAUGUCUUCGCUUAUAUUUACCAAGGGUGCCAAUAUUAGUGGCGGGCGCUGUGUACACACACACACACACACACACACACACACAUACACACAUAAGCUAUUACACUAAAAGCAGCCUCAGUACUUCUGUGUUUUGUAUAAGAACUCAGUAAUCAUGCGUGGUCAUUGUGUUUGUGAAUUCUUCGCAAGCGAUUCAACUGUAAGGUUCGUGCUAAAACAUCUGUAAACAUCAUUCUUCAGAAAUUUCCUCUCACUCUUACUCCACACUCCUCUCAGAGUAGGAACUGACAUUUUUUGAAAUAGAAAAAAAGCGGUGUCUUGUGGUGUUUACUCACCCACUCCCGCUCGGUAAAUUCGAUCUAAACAUGAUUUACGGGAGCAAUUUUGAGGAGUGUUAUGACUGCAGGCCGAGGUUCACGCUCUCAGGAUGGGGAUGAAGGAUUUCUUGGCCUUCAGGUUAAAUAUGAAGUGAUUUUUUUUUUAGUUUUUUUUUUUUCCUACACAGGAGCUUUUUGAACAGUAAAGACCUUAUUGUGCUCUGAUGGAUAUUUACUGGAGCUCAUGGUGUAUCCGCUUUCAAAAACAUCAACAAAAUGGCUUUAAAAAAAUAUAUAUAUCUAGUCUCGUUUUUACCAUCAUAGGCAUUUAUGCAGCUGGGAGUCUUGUAUUCACUCUAUCUUUGGAUGGUUAAGUUCUACCUUUAAAAAAAGAGUACCACUCAGCAUGAUCUCUAUAUGGCCUACUGCUGUAGGGUUCCACAUAGAUUGUUUCAGGGUUCUAGAUCCGUCAUUUUUUCUCUAAGAACAUAUCUUAUGCUAACUUUAGUCUUUAAUCUCCAAAUAUGGAGCAGCUAGUCACAGUUAGUUCGUUCGUUCAUUCAUUCAUUUGUCCGUCCAUCCUGGCGGUUAAAGCUCUUUGAAAGCUUUGUCUUGGUUACUGAUCAGAAGGUCGGGGGUUCAAGCCCCAGCACUACCAAGCUGCCACUGUUGGGCCCUUGAGCAAGGCCCUUAACCCUCUCCGCUCCAGGGGCGCUGUAUCAUAGCUGACCCUGCGCUCUGACCCCAGCUUCCUAACAUGCUGGGGUAUGAAGAAAAGAAUUUCACUCUGCUCUAAUGUCUAAGUGACUAAUAAAGACUCAUUAUCUAUCUAUCUCUCUAUCUGUUUAGUUAGAUAGUUAGUGUAUAUUAUCCAUCACUGCUAGUGUAGUCAUUAUCUUCAACAUGUUUCACACUAACACCAUGUUCACACAAGUCUCUUGUUGUUUGUUGUUUAUGGGGUGGCCUAUUAAGUUUUUUCUUACUACAGGAAAGAAUUGACAGCAGUCAUAUACAGCUUCUAAAGCUAACUAGUUAAACACAAAUGACUAAUCAGUGUGAGUAUGGAUUUUUUGAUCGAUCAACUUCGUACUGUUCUCAGAAUAGAUUAGCAAAGUGAGCUGACCGUACUAACUCGUGUACACUCGCCAGAAUCACCGACGAUCACUGCUACUUCCUUAAGGAAUUUAUUUCUCUUCGUACCGUCUCUAUACACCCACUGAGCGGUCUUAUAUGACGGGUUAAGAUGGAACCACGGUAAUAAGUUUGUUUUGCAUGGGAAAUGAGAUUGGAAAUGAACCGAAGAAACUUUGGAUUGUGCGCGCUAUAGGAUCGCUCUGAGGAAUCCUUCGGAUUUGCAGAGAACUGAGAAAAAUCUCAAUUGAAAUAUUGCUGAAAUCACACCUCCCGUGUGACAAUGAGCGCUCGUCUGCUGUUUUGUCGCUCGCUAUCGUGAGUGUAAGAUUAUAGAUGAGAAAGAGUUGAAAAGUUCUGGCCGUGGAAUAUUCUUCUCGGUUUGCGAGUAUGGAUCUGCUCGUCGUUACCAAAUGUGUUCGCAUUUAAGUAAGCAUGUACGAGAGUUCCUCCGCUGCUCGAGACAUCGCAGUUUCAACAAAACUGAAAUUAGCAAGCCUUUACCUCACCCACCUGACUCCAUCCCUUCUGCUGAAUCUACAUCUGCUUUAUAACUUGCCUUAUAGGGAAAAGUAUUGAAGCUGAACAGGGCAAAGGGCUUAUUUCUGUACCAUUACCAGUACUGUUGAUAAGACAAUUUCAGGGACAUUUGUGUAAUUAUACUACUAUUAAAUGUUAUUAAAAACACUUAACUGAAAAAUGGAUGAAUAGAGUGAAAACUUUGCGUCUUAUAUGUUUUCUGGGCAAACUAAAAAGAAUCUAUUCUUUUACUUAUAUACACAAAGAAAGAAGUAUAAAAAAAAAACAUGAGAAGGGAAAUAGAAAGAAAAUUUUACGAGUCUUGCAACAGGUUUUGUCAUAGUGCUAGUGCUAGUUUUGUGAUAAUAAAGAAACGCCAUCAAACCUAAGACACUAAACGUCUUCUUUUAGAAAUAAAUGUCAUCUAUUUUCAUGAUGUCCUGAGGCUGUGCAAAUUCCUGCACUGAAACCUUCUGUACAAGUUAUCUGAUAAUAGACCAACAUCCAUCAAACCUGAGAUGCUAAACGUUUUCUCUUUAAAAAAUAAACGUAUGAGUUUCAUUUCGUCCCGAAGGCAUGCACACGUUCCACACUGCGUAGAUUUACAUUAAACCUGAAACACAAAUGCGUUGAUAGUGAUAUGAUUAAUAAUUUAUGUCUUGAUUUUAAUGACAUGGUAAAAAGAUUUUUUUUCUUUUCUAUUUCCUGUCUGAGGAACGAGUGAACGAACUUUGCCACAGUGUUGUCUCCUACAGAAAGGGUUUCCAAAGAGACGGUUUUUACUGAAGCGAAAUUGCUUGAGGUCAACGGAGUCUAAACAUUUAGGGUUCCAAAGGAAAAAUUUGUCUGCGAUACAGAUGUACAUUUUCUUAGUUUAAACCGACCAGCCGGUUCUCCUCUCGGGAAAGGUGAAGACGAACUUCCUCUCCGACUACAUCUGCUCAGGCCGCAUCACAGGAAAAUGCGCUAUCUGUCCUUUUCCACAUACUGUACAUGAUGCCUACGCUUGGUUAGUGUCACUGUGAUUGACAGGGGACAGAGAGCGAGAGAAUGCAGCCAGGGACGGCUGUGUCAUCGUCGGCAUUUCGAUUCAUGUUCUCCAGACAGUCAUUUUUAACGGUGCAAACCUACACCAUGCGAAAGUUUGGAAUUGCCCUCGCCGUCUCUGAAAAAUCCCAUUGCAAGCUCUUUAACAGAAGAAUAUUUCAUAGCACAAUUGUUGUCCUGCGCCUUUCUCCGCAGCGUAUUAAUCUUCAACAGUUAGUUUUUGCUUUCACUGUUAGUUUUGGGAGGUGGUCUAAACCAGAAAAGUAUUCUUUUAUUCUGAGAUGAAGUUACUGAGCAUCAGAUGAAAGUGCAAAAACUUGCGAACAUGCUAAAGUUUCAACUGAUAGCUAAAAGGACAAAGGCUCGUCCCCUGACCUCGUAUGGGAAAUUGACAGACUUUGGCUGUACUACUUUCGCGGCUCGAUGCCGUAGGAUGGAUCUGAGCUUUCGCAAUUCGCAUGUUUUCAAAAUUUCUCACUAAUUCCAAGCCGAAUUCCAGCUCCGGCUGGGAAUUACUGCAAAGUGGUACUACAGGAUCGUCAAGAUGACUCAUAUAUUUUCGGCUCGGGCUUAGUAAUGCUUUUGUUUACAUUUUUAUUCAAAAGGCUGUUAUCUGAGCGGAACAGUGUGAAAAGAUGACAAAUCUGAUUAUUCGUUUAGGAAUGCUUCUAACCUCAUCGAAGUGCUAGACUCAGAUCUCUGGAUUCAAGAAGGCUUUAUGCAAGGCCUUACAGAAAGUCUUACAUUAGCUUAUUAGCAUCGUCUGUCUGCCUGUGAUAUUUAAACUUUAUUCUAAUGAAUUUAGCUGGUUCUGUUUCAUAACAUAUAAAGAAACUAGUAGCAUAAUUUAAACCACAAUGACCCUGACCAGGCAGUUACUAAGGAUGCAUUACUGAAUGCGGUAAAUGCAUCGCGCAGCACAGCAACGUAUAUGUUUUUACAUCAUUUCUGCUAUCAUGCUAUCAUGGGAACAGACUCAUUCAAACUGGACUGCUGAUUAGAUUAGAGACAAAAAAAAAAAAAAAACACUACCUGGCCUUUUUCCAGUCUUCACCUGUCCAGUUUGGGUGAGUCUGAGCCCAUGAUAG